ensembl:lncRNA novel transcript, antisense to SLC38A11 and SCN3A
GAUGGCAUAGAUAAACAUGACCAGGAAGAGCAGGAGGCCGAUGUUAAACAACGCAGGAAGGGACAUCAUCAAAGCAAAGAGCAGCGUGCGGAUCCCCUUUGCUCCUUUGAUCAGACGUAGGAUUCGGCCAAUCCUGGCAAGACGGAUCACUCGGAACAAGCACGCGGAACACAAUCAGGAAGGAGUGGAAGAAGUCGUUCAUGUGCCACCGUGGGAGCGUACAGUCAUCAUUGAUCUUGCAGACACAUUCUUUGUAGCUCUUACCAAAGAGCUGCAUGCCGACCACAGCAAAAAUGAAGACGAUGAUGGCCAACACCAAGGGAUUGUAGCAACCAAACUGCUGAAGACUGGCGUGGUCUGUCUGUCUUCACCCUCCAGAGGAUAGAGGACCUGGUAAGUAAGAAACUGACUAGUGAGGGCAGUAAUCCUGAGGAGAAACCUAAGAAGAGGUGAGAGGGAAGAUGCCAGGAGGGAGAGAUGCCCUGCCGUGUGCCAGGUGUGCCACCUGAGCUGUCUCCUCAAGGACAUGGAGGAUUCAGGAUCCUGAUAAAAUUGCCAGUGCAAAAUCAGACAUUGAGUUCACUCAUUCUUCAAGUGUCACUCCUCUUUAAAAAUUAACAGACUUUUUUUAGAACAAUUUUAGGUUUACAGAAAAGUCUAUCAGAAAGUAUUGAGUUCCCACAUCGAGUGCCCUAUUGAAUGUCUUAAAUAUCUGUCUUCAAAAUUUUUAUUGAGAAAUAAAUUGAGAGAAUAAAUAG